UACAGAGGUCCCAAGCGUUGUUCGGAUUCAUUGGGCGUAAAGAGCGUGUAGGCGGCCAGGUAGGUCGGUUGUGAAAACUGGAGGCUCAACCUUCAGACGUCGACCGAAACCAUCUGGCUAGAGUCCGGGAGAGGAGAGUGGAAUUCCUGGUGUAGCGGUGAAAUGCGCAGAUAUCAGGAAGAACACCCGUGGCGAAGGCGGCUCUCUGGGACGGUACUGACGCUGAGACGCGAAAGCGUGGGGAGCGAACAGG
rnacentral:rRNA from 1 species